rnacentral:misc_RNA from 1 species
UAUAAUCUCCCACUCGAGCGUCGCGCGGCCAUUCCAUUUCGUGAGCCCUCAUCGAGCGUGUGGGCAGGAUCUCAUGUGUUUGUACAUGGGUGCCCUAGAGAACGGUUGCUGCGACUGAAUGAUCAGCCAAGCUUAAACUAAAUACAGUCUCACCGUUUGAAAUGGCAACGGACACGAGUGGGAAGAAAGGAGUAGAAAGAAAGAGAGGGAGAGAGAGAUAGAGAGAGAGGGAGAGAGAGAGCGAAAGAGUAGCUGUAAUGCAGAUGCAAGCGAUGUCUCAGGAUUAUGCGCGCGCAUAUACAGUGGCUCUCCUGCUUGUCGCCGAUUUGAUGCUGUUUAGGAUCAAAGUAAUAAAACAAAGGAUCUCAUUUACUGUAAGUUGUAAGUCAUUGUGAUACUUUUUGUAUUAAGUCUAUUUGUAAAUAAUAGAAAACUGUGAUACAGAUUAAAUAAGAAGAUGAAGCGAAGAGUAUUGACAACAAUGUAAGAUAAAUAAAUACAUUUUACAAAUAACAAUGUAAAAUAAUUCUUUUUCAACUUCUCUAUUUACCAAAUUAAGUAUUAAUACAUCAAUCCUUUUCAGUAUGGCACAAUAGACGUCAUAGAAAAUACACAUCUUAUUGCGAACAGAGGGCUAUCGACUGUCAACAAGGACGACGUCGGUGUCGAUGUCGGCGUCGUCAUCGGCUUAGAAAACUUGUACCUAUAAGAUUCCAAUGAACGAAAAAGAGAAAACUAGAGGGGAGUAUAUUUGCGUUUUGAUGGAGAGGGAGGGAAAAAAUCUUUGUUUCUAGAGACUGGUCGAAUCGGAGUUACCCUCGGAACGAAUUAUCCUCUGCACGAAUCAUCGUAAUAAUGAACUCUGCGUGAUAACUACAAUGAUGAGAAAUGGCUUUCAUGCGGUGAGCUUCCAUUCCCCCGAAUCGGUUGGUUUCCCAGGUCCAGAACAGAUCCAUUCAUCUCAUUGAAUAAUAUAAGGUCUUCAGAUGUGGAAACACGAUCCCGUACAGGUUACAAGUAUAUUCCAAGUAAGGUAACUCGCUCAUUCAAGCAUGUGAAUAAAUCUGUUUAAGAGUUACCGAAAGUUUCUCCUGUUUAAUAUUUGAUGAAAAAAAUGUCACAUUUGUUUGGCGUUGCCAUAAUAAUGUGUCCAUAGAUUUGCGCAAUUUUCGGCCAUGCCAUUUUUGGCCAUACUCGAACCGUGAUCGGGAUAGAAUGUUAAUGCGUGUGUUUUAGACAUUCAGAGAGCGGGAAUUACUGGAAACAGCGAGCGAAGGAUGCGAAAGAGUGUUGAUUAAGAGAGAGUAUAUGCGCAAGGAUACAUUGUGUAUGAGAAAUCAUAAAAGUAUUAGGCUUGAUUCGGUGAUGUUCAUUUUAAUUCAAAUAGAAUUUUAUCUUUAUUCAUUUGAUCAAAAUAGACAAUAAUAUGUUUUUCAAUAAACUCAAUAUCGAAUUAAUGUCAUAAUGUUAUAAAAUUAAUGUUAUAAAAAAAUCUGAAGAUUCGAGAAUUCUGCAGUUCGAGAUAUCCCCUAAACAUAGGAAUCUUAAUCUAUUCUUUUUAUCCAAAAACUUCUAAAAUCGGAGUAUAGGACAUUCGAAAAGAAUUUUAGGCAUUUUUAUCACCGGAUUUCAAUCUUAGCCUACUGCUCUAAGGAUUUAAAUUCAGAUAUAAACAAUAUAUAAAGAGAGACAAAGUCAUGAUUAAAUAAAGUGAGAGCAAGAAAACAGAUACUAUUACAGACAUACAACUCGAAUAGCAAGAGUAGUAUAAAUAUCGAUUGGUAACGCUUUGUGUUAACUCUAUUCUGGAUAAAUAUAAUAUGUAUGUAUUUGGAUUUAUAUGGAUACACUCUAGAAAAAUUUAGUUGCUAACUAGAUAUGCUUGUUGAUACUAACUAGACGUUGAUUUCAAUUUGAUAAUACAGGCAUUUGUUUGGUAAGAAUUAAUAUAUAUUUAACUUUAGAAAAAUGCAAUUUUCUAUUGAAAUUUCUUUUAUAAAGUUGAAGGGAGAAAUAUGUCGAAAAAUAUUGGAGAGCCGAAGGAAGGAGGGGGUUAGAAAUAAGAUCUUUUUGAUUAACAGAAAACUGUAUGCAUUUGGAAAAACUCGGCCCAUUCGACCAAUGAAUAAUGAAGAUGAUAGUUUAAAUAAUAUAAGAUUGUACGUGGCGGUCCCGUAUAAAAUGGAUUUUGUUGGAGGAUAAAAUGCAGUCUGUCGAGCGUGAUCAUCGUGGAGAUUCUAGACGGUUUGAAAGAAAGAACGAGAGUAAAAUUUGCUAAUAUAACUAUAGCUAUUGUUCCUUAUUACGAUUGUAAUAUCUAUUGUUUUGCAUUUCGUUAUAUAUUGCAUUUUGUUUUGCUCGGUUUUCUUUGUGUUUUACACAGCAGGCGGCAGAACGAAAGCAUCUAAAUCUUUCACAGAUUAAAAAGAACAACCCUGACAUAUUCACUAUUUGCACAUUCGGCAACCUAAGAUGCUCUGCGAUCAUCAGGAAAUAAUGCUGGGAUCGUGUGUCGUGUACGAAUGAUAAAGGUAACGAAAGAAAAAGGUCUUUGAUGAUCCUUGAUCUUUGUACCUUGCGCGCAUGCAAAUGUGAGAGGGGAUUGGGGUGGGACAAAACAAUGUUUUUAUGAGUCAUAGGAAAUCACUACUUCACUCGAUGAUAAUGAAAGGAAAUAUGCUUGGAAGAUGUUUCGAGAUGGUGAUAAGAAGCUUUCCACAAGAUUGCUAGGGAUAAUCGUGUCUCAUGCUUUGAAUGUACCAGGCUAGUUGAAAGAGAUGUAUAUUCACUGGAAUCUAUAAAAUUUUUUCGAAACUUCUACAAAGAUGCGCUGAGCCCACAGAUCUACAAGUUUCAAAAUCUUGGAACGAAUCAAGUUUAAGGAUAUAGAAUUUAAACCAAUAAUCCACGCAAGUAGUUAAGGAUAUGAAAGUUUAAUAAUUCAAGACUUUAAGAAUUUGAAGCACAUUUGGAAUUUUUAAGGACAUCUGGGAAUCCGAAGACAGUUUUGGACUAUUUUUUUCAAAUCAUUUUAUUUUCAUUGUUACUUUAAAAUGGAAUUAUCGUAAUGUGAUUUGAAUACACAUUCUUAAAAAUUUUUUUAUUUGUAGAAGAGAUUGAAGAUAUAUUAUUUUCACACACAUCACACACAUAUACACGUAGAAUAAAAAAAAAUCUAUUCAAGUAAUAAAUACUGAAUCUUUUAAUCUAAAGGAAAGUAUAACAUGAAAAAAAGAUUUAUUUUUUGAAGGUAUUGAUUUUAAAUCUCGAAAGAUGAAAAAGAGAGGGAGAGAGAAAGAGUCACAGAAUGAGUAAGACAAUUCAAUCGUUUAAGGCAAUAAUAUGUACAUAAUGUGACGACGUAUACUAUGGUUCUUUAAGGAAACAGAGAUAUACGAAAAUUUAUAUAUUAGUUGGAAAGAAAAUGAUAAAAGCGUUGAAGUUCAGCUUGGCGAAAAAUUUAGCAAGUUAUGUUGCAAAAAAUUUUAUUCCAUCUUCAAUGAAGAUUUGAUCUCUUCAAGAUAUAUAUUUAAGUUUACAACAAAAAAGGCGAAUUUUUAUAAAAAUUGUGAAAACACUAUUUUUUCGAAGAGGAUGCAAAUUACAAAGUUUGAUCCAUAUUAAUUAUAUGGAUUUGUGUAAACUGUAUAGCCUUUGAGUGAUGGGUUUUAAUACAAGUAAUUGAGAAGAGGAAAAUGAGAUGACAGUGAUAACAAUUAAGAGAGAGAAAGAAAGAACAUGUUAAUAACAAUACAAUAAUUUAUUAAGAAAAAUAUGUGGAAUUCAGCAAUAGAGAGAGGCACAAACGUAGUCGAUCAAUUAUCUAUCAUCGGAAUUCGAUGUUGUCUCCGAUCAUACGAGCGUACAAGUUUGGUCUAGGAUUUCUUUGUCAUUGGCUGCUUUUGAAAUCUUGAAAGGUUUUUCUUUUCCUGGAAACAUGUCUUUUGUGAUAUAUGCCAUUCAUCAUCCGCUAGAUCAGUGAUAUUCUUUAUUAACUAAAACCUCGUCGAAAAAAGGAAUUACUUUGGGUCUUCAACGCAAUUGUCACAGGAUUUGCAAUGAAUUGGAUUUUUUCAAGAGCAUUGAUAUAAGAUAUGCAAAGUUUCAGAGAAAUAACAUCUUUUUUUAAAAAUAAUUUAUUUUUCUAAACACUAUAUUUGCCCGCGCGCAUAUGAAGAACUAUGGAAGAAAAAAUUGUAGACGAGAUGAAAAAAUUUAAAAAAUAUUGGGGGACUUUUCACACAAUUUUACACUUUUUGCACAAUGGAAUUAUUAUUGCGAAUCUUUGUCACAGAAGAGAACAUCGCGAUUUCGUUGCAGAAAAUAAUUAUGAGAGAUUUCAUCGGAAAAAAAAUUUUACGGAUUUACGUAGCACAAAAAAUAAAAAACUUCACACAAAAAGAUCCAUUGUGCGACUCGUUACAGGAAAGAAUCGUUGCUGGAUUUUAUUGCAAAAAAAAA